UACGGAGGGUGCGAGCGUUGUCCGGAAUCACUGGGCGUAAAGGGCGCGUAGGCGGCCUGGCAAGUCGAUGGUGAAAGCCCGAGGCUCAACUUCGGGUCGGCCACUGAUACUGCUGGGCUUGAGUCGACUAGAGGCAGAUGGAAUUCCGGGUGUAGCGGUGGAAUGCGUAGAGGUCCGGAAGAACACCGGUGGCGAAGGCGGUCUGCUGGGGUCGAACUGACGCUGAGGCGCGACAGCGUGGGGAGCAAACAGG
rnacentral:rRNA from 1 species